rnacentral:rRNA from 1 species
CGGCGGACGGGUGAGUAACGCGUGGGUAACCUGCCUCAUACAGGGGGAGUAACAGUUGGAAACGGCUGCUAAUACCGCAUAAGCGCACAGUACCGCAUGGUACCGUGUGAAAAACUCCGGUGGUAUGAGAUGGACCCGCGUCUGAUUAGCUAGUUGGUGGGGUAACGGCCUACCAAGGCGACGAUCAGUAGCCGACCUGAGAGGGUGACCGGCCACAUUGGGACUGAGACACGGCCCAAACUCCUACGGGAGGCAGCAUGC